rnacentral:lncRNA from 1 species
UUGAUUCGGUUACAUAAAGUGGUGGAGAAUCACCAGGAAGUUGAAUAAAUCUAAUAGGAGUUGGGAUGAAGAAGUUAUCCCACUUUCAAAUCAGGUGAUUCCAGUUUUCCAGUCUGGAAAUAAGACAACUUCUUCGUCGUUCCAAUCAAACAAAUAUGAAUCACUUUGUAAGAGGCUUGAUUCGGUUACAUAAAGUGGUGGACAAGCACCAGGAAGUUGAAAAUGUCUCAUAGGAGUUGGGAUGAAAAAGUUAUCCAACUUUCUAAUAAGGUGAUUCUAGUUUCCCAGUUUGGGAAUACAAGAACUUCUUUGUCGUUCCAAUCAAACCAGGACGAAUAACUUUGUAAGAAGCUUGAUUUGGAUACAUAAAGUGGUGGAGAAUCACCAGGGAUUUUAACAAACCUCAUAGGAGUUGGGAUGAAGAAGUUAUCCUUCUUUCACAUCAGGUGAUUCUAGUUUCCCAGUUUGGGAAUAAGACAACUUCUUCGUUGUUCCAAACAAACCAGGAUGAAUCACUUUGUAAGCAGCUUCAUUUGGAUACAUGAAGUGGUGGAGAAUCACCAGGGAUUUUAACAAACCUCAUAGGAGUUGGGAUGAAGAAGUUAUCCUUCUUUCAAAUCAGGUGAUUCUAGUUUCCCAGUUUGGGAAUAAGACAACUUCUUCGUCGAUCAAAUUCAACCAGGCUGAAUCACUUUGUAAGAAGCUUGAUUUGGAUACAUAAAGUGGUGGAGAAUCACCAGGAAGUUGAAUAAAUCUCAUAGGAGUUAGGAUGAAGAAGUUAUCCCACUUUCAAAUCCGGUGAUUCUAGUUUCUCAGUUUGGGAUUAUGACAAUUUCGUCGUCGUUCCAAUUAAAGAUGGAUGAAUCACUUUGUAAGAAGCUUGAUUUGAAUAUAUAAAGUGGAGUAGAAGCACCAAGAAGUUUAAAAAAUAUCAUAGGAGUUGGGAUGAAUAAGUUAUCCCACUUUCAAAUCAGGUGAUUCCAGUUUCCCAGUCUAGGAAUAAGACAACUUCUUCGUCGUUCCAAUCAAACCAGGAUGAAUCAUUUUGU